rnacentral:rRNA from 1 species
UACGAAGGGGGCUAGCGUUGUUCGGAAUUACUGGGCGUAAAGCGUGCGCAGGCGGCUUCUCAAGUCAGGGGUGAAAGCCCAGAGCUCAACUCUGGAAUUGCCUUUGAGACUGAGUGGCUUGAGUACGAGAGAGGUGAGUGGAAUUCCCAGUGUAGAGGUGAAAUUCGUAGAUAUUGGGAAGAACACCGGUGGCGAAGGCGGGUCUCUGGGCAGUAACUGACGCUGAGGAGCGAAAGCGUGGGGAGCGAACAGG